CAAACAUCGUGCUGCUUAAAGGCAGAAGACUAGUCGCUGGUAGCUUUACGCAAACAAACUGACUAAGGAUAUACCAGCAUAUUAUUCCAUAUGAAUGAAACGUUUUUGUAAGAAUAAAGGACUUUAUUAAUAAGAUGAGUGCAGCGACAACUAAAUAUUAGAGUGGGACAGGAGAAGACAAGUUAUUGAGAAGCAUCGAAGAUCCGGAGAGGGACAUUUUAUCGAAUCCAUAUGAAAUGUUAAUUGCAUUAAAAAAGGCGGUCGUGCUGUUUGUCCCGAGCUGCCAACACUAGCCUGCCGGUUCCGGUGAACACGGUCAUCUUGCAGGAGUGCAUCUGCGACGCCACUUGACCACCGCUAUCAUCCAUUUGUGUAAAUUGUACAUACUAAUUAUCUCCUUUGUCACAAUAAUGUACAGUCCACAUUUGUUUAGAUUUACCUCAGCAUCAACAGCUGCAAUAUGUUACUGAAUUUAUACAAUAAGACUCCACGCACGAUCUAACUAACAAUGGAUAUAAUUCUCAAACUAUGCAUUAGAGAGUGGGUCACAAAGCUGUAAAGGUUACAUCUUGGUGUA